rnacentral:tRNA from 1 species
GGUAAAAUGGCUGAGUUUAGGCAAUAAAUUGUAAAUUUAUUCACGAAUUUUAAUUCUUUUAUCA